rnacentral:rRNA from 1 species
ACACAUGCAAGUCGAGCGCGCCUUCGGGUGAGCGGCGGACGGGUUAGUAACGCGUGGGAACGUACCCUUCUCUACGGAAUAGCCUUUGGAAACGAAGAGUAAUACCGUAUACGCCCUUUGGGGGAAAGAUUUAUCGGAGAAGGAUCGGCCCGCGUUAGAUUAGAUAGUUGGUGGGGUAACGGCCUACCAAGUCUACGAUCUAUAGCUGGUUUUAGAGGAUGAUCAGCAACACUGGGACUGAGACACGGCCCAGACUCCUACGGGAGGCAGCAGUGGGGAAUCUUAGACAAUGGGCGCAAGCCUGAUCUAGCCAUGCCGCGUGAGUGAUGAAGGCCUUAGGGUCGUAAAGCUCUUUCGCCUGUGAUGAUAAUGACAGUAGCAGGUAAAGAAACCCCGGCUAACUCCGUGCCAGCAGCCGCGGUAAUACGGAGGGGGUUAGCGUUGUUCGGAAUUACUGGGCGUAAAGCGCACGUAGGCGGAUUGGAAAGUUGGGGGUGAAAUCCCGGGGCUCAACCCCGGAACUGCCUCCAAAACUAUCAGUCUAGAGUUCGAGAGAGGUGAGUGGAAUUCCAAGUGUAGAGGUGAAAUUCGUAGAUAUUUGGAGGAACACCAGUGGCGAAGGCGGCUCACUGGCUCGAUACUGACGCUGAGGUGCGAAAGUGUGGGGAGCAAACAGGAUUAGAUACCCUGGUAGUCCACACCGUAAACGAUGAAUGCCAGUCGUCGGGCAGUAUACUGUUCGGUGACACACCUAACGGAUUAAGCAUUCCGCCUGGGGAGUACGGUCGCAAGAUUAAAACUUAAAUGAAUUGACGG